ACCAUAAAAGGAACAACAGCAAAAGGUCACCAAUAAGUCUUCAAUGCAGCAUGAAAUUCCUGCAACCACGGGCGCCCUUCAGCUGGUCCCUAAACAAAUAUCUAUACAACUUCAGUGAUAAUGAACACCAUAUUAAACUCCAGAUUAUACACAAAAAAAUAUAAUUAAAAAUACAAGACUACCAAAUGCCACUUAGAGGCACCUGACUUGCGACAGGCUCAAAAAUGUGAUGGGUUUAAACAUGUUUAUGAGAUCUCAACCCAACCCCUCUACCUCUAAC
rnacentral:lncRNA from 1 species